CAAAUACUCCCUCCGUUUAGAAAUACUUGUUCUAAAGAUGAAUGUACUAGACUUAUUUUAGUUAUAGAUACAUUCAUUAUAUCCAAUUUUUAGGACAAGUAUUUCCGGACGGAGGUAGUACAUC
rfam:Hordeum vulgare subsp. vulgare, WGS project CAJW01000000 data, contig: morex_contig_2546996